rnacentral:rRNA from 1 species
GAUGAACGCUGGCGGCGUGCCUAAUACAUGCAAGUCGAGCGAACAGACGAGGAGCUUGCUCCUCUGACGUUAGCGGCGGACGGGUGAGUAACACGUGGAUAACCUACCUAUAAGACUGGGAUACCUUCGGGAAACCGGAGCUAAUACCGGAUAAUAUAUUGAACCGCAUGGUUCAAUAGUGAAAGACGGUUUUGCUGUCACUUAUAGAUGGAUCCGCGCCGCAUUAGCUAGUUGGUAAGGUAACGGCUUACCAAGGCAACGAUGCGUAGCCGACCUGAGAGGGUGAUCGGCCACACUGGAACUGAGACACGGUCCAGACUCCUACGGGAGGCAGCAGUAGGGAAUCUUCCGCAAUGGGCGAAAGCCUGACGGAGCAACGCCGCGUGAGUGAUGAAGGUCUUCGGAUCGUAAAACUCUGUUAUUAGGGAAGAACAAAUGUGUAAGUAACUAUGCACGUCUUGACGGUACCUAAUCAGAAAGCCACGGCUAACUACGUG